GCAAAUCAAAGACAAUCAGAGCCCACUUGUUACAUACCUUUUGGAAGGUCCAACUGGCAGUGGCAAAACUUCAAUGGCAGCUACAAUUGGUAUAGAGAGUGAUUUCCCAUAUGUCAAGAUUAUAUCUGCAGAAAGCAUGAUUGGUCUCGGUGAAGCAAGUAAAUGUGCACAAAUUGUCAAGGU